rnacentral:ribozyme from 13 species
AAAAGAAUAGAAAAACGGAAGGAAAGACAUAUUUUUACUACAAAGGUAUUUUGUAUUUUUUUGUGGGUUGUGGGACUAUCUUUUUUUUUUUUUUCGUUGCCCCCCCCCCUC